rnacentral:rRNA from 1 species
AGAGUUUGAUCAUGGCUCAGAUUGAACGCUGGCGGCAGGCCUAACACAUGCAAGUCGAGCGGUAGCACAGAGAGCUUGCUCUCGGGUGACGAGCGGCGGACGGGUGAGUAAUGUCUGGGAAACUGCCUGAUGGAGGGGGAUAACUACUGGAAACGGUAGCUAAUACCGCAUAAUGUCGCAAGACCAAAGUGGGGGACCUUCGGGCCUCAUGCCAUCAGAUGUGCCCAGAUGGGAUUAGCUAGUAGGUGGGGUAAUGGCUCACCUAGGCGACGAUCCCUAGCUGGUCUGAGAGGAUGACCAGCCACACUGGAACUGAGACACGGUCCAGACUCCUACGGGAGGCAGCAGUGGGGAAUAUUGCACAAUGGGCGCAAGCCUGAUGCAGCCAUGCCGCGUGUGUGAAGAAGGCCUUCGGGUUGUAAAGCACUUUCAGCGGGGAGGAAGGCGAUAAGGUUAAUAACCUUGUCGAUUGACGUUACCCGCAGAAGAAGCACCGGCUAACUCCGUGCCAGCAGCCGCGGUAAUACGGAGGGUGCAAGCGUUAAUCGGAAUUACUGGGCGUAAAGCGCACGCAGGCGGUCUGUCAAGUCGGAUGUGAAAUCCCCGGGCUCAACCUGGGAACUGCAUUCGAAACUGGCAGGCUAGAGUCUUGUAGAGGGGGGUAGAAUUCCAGGUGUAGCGGUGAAAUGCGUAGAGAUCUGGAGGAAUACCGGUGGCGAAGGCGGCCCCCUGGACAAAGACUGACGCUCAGGUGCGAAAGCGUGGGGAGCAAACAGGAUUAGAUACCCUGGUAGUCCACGCCGUAAACGAUGUCGAUUUGGAGGUUGUGCCCUUGAGGCGUGGCUUCCGGAGCUAACGCGUUAAAUCGACCGCCUGGGGAGUACGGCCGCAAGGUUAAAACUCAAAUGAAUUGACGGGGGCCCGCACAAGCGGUGGAGCAUGUGGUUUAAUUCGAUGCAACGCGAAGAACCUUACCUGGUCUUGACAUCCACAGAACUUUCCAGAGAUGGAUUGGUGCCUUCGGGAACUGUGAGACAGGUGCUGCAUGGCUGUCGUCAGCUCGUGUUGUGAAAUGUUGGGUUAAGUCCCGCAACGAGCGCAACCCUUAUCCUUUGUUGCCAGCGGUCCGGCCGGGAACUCAAAGGAGACUGCCAGUGAUAAACUGGAGGAAGGUGGGGAUGACGUCAAGUCAUCAUGGCCCUUACGACCAGGGCUACACACGUGCUACAAUGGCAUAUACAAAGAGAAGCGAUCUCGCGAGAGCAAGCGGACCUCAUAAAGUAUGUCGUAGUCCGGAUUGGAGUCUGCAACUCGACUCCAUGAAGUCGGAAUCGCUAGUAAUCGUAGAUCAGAAUGCUACGGUGAAUACGUUCCCGGGCCUUGUACACACCGCCCGUCACACCAUGGGAGUGGGUUGCAAAAGAAGUAGGUAGCUUAACCUUCGGGAGGGCGCUUACCACUUUGUGAUUCAUGACUGGGGUGAAGUCGUAACAAGGUAACCGUAGGGGAACCUGCGGUUGGAUCACCU